rnacentral:tRNA from 1 species
CUUUGUAGCUUAACUGGAUAGAGCACCUGAUUACGAAUCAGGAGGUUAGGGGUUCGAAUCCCUUCAGA